GGCGAACGGGUGAGUAAUACAUCGGAACGUGUCCUGUAGUGGGGGAUAGCCCGGCGAAAGCCGGAUUAAUACCGCAUACGCUCUACGGAGGAAAGGGGGGGAUCUUAGGACCUCCCGCUACAGGGGCGGCCGAUGGCAGAUUAGCUAGUUGGUGGGGUAAAGGCCUACCAAGGCGACGAUCUGUAGCUGGUCUGAGAGGACGACCAGCCACACUGGGACUGAGACACGGCCCAGACUCCUACGGGAGGCAGCAGUGGGGAAUUUUGGACAAUGGGGGCAACCCUGAUCCAGCAAUGCCGCGUGUGUGAAGAAGGCCUUCGGGUUGUAAAGCACUUUUGUCCGGAAAGAAAACGCCGUGGUUAAUACCCGUGGCGGAUGACGGUACCGGAAGAAUAAGCACCGGCUAACUACGUGCCAGCAGCCGCGGUAAUACGUAGGGUGCAAGCGUUAAUCGGAAUUACUGGGCGUAAAGCGUGCGCAGGCGGUCCGCUAAGACAGAUGUGAAAUCCCCGGGCUUAACCUGGGAACUGCAUUUGUGACUGGCGGGCUAG
rnacentral:rRNA from 1 species